rnacentral:rRNA from 1 species
UACGAAGGGGCUAGCGUUGCUCGGAAUCACUGGGCGUAAAGGGUGCGUAGGCGGGUCUUUUAAGUCAGGGGUGAAAUCCUGGAGCUCAACUCCAGAACUGCCUUUGAUACUGAAGAUCUUGAGUUCGGGAGAGGUGAGUGGAACUGCGAGUGUAGAGGUGAAAUUCGUAGAUAUUCGCAAGAACACCAGUGGCGAAGGCGGCUCACUGGCCCGAUACUGACGCUG